rnacentral:lncRNA from 1 species
CGGAAAUAGAUUACAUCAGAACAAAAGGAAAAAACAUUUAUAUCACAGAUGGAGAAAGAGGAGAACUAUACAUGUCAGAUGAUUGACAAUAAUGGAGGUGAUAAUUUCAACCAUCAAGCUGAAAUUGCCAUCGUCAUCUAUGAAGAUGCUGUUGAAAUGUACCAGAUCUGUCUGAGCCCCCACAAAUCUAGAAAAGCAAAAAUUCCUUCUUUUGACAAUAGUCCUACAGUAUUUUUUUGCAAAGCUGCUAAAAUGAUUCUUUGUGAGUUUUCUGGACUUUGAUGCUGUGACAAAUAUUUCCAUAGGUUUGUAUUAGAUUAUUAAUAUUUAUGGAAAUGCAAGGCUC